AUUGAACGCUGGCGGCAGGCCUAACACAUGCAAGUCGAACGGAUCCUUCGGGAUUAGUGGCGGACGGGUGAGUAACGCGUGGGAACAUACCCAAAGGUACGGAAUAGCCUCGGGAAACUGGGAGUAAUACCGUAUGUGCUCGAAAGAGGAAAGAUUUAUCGCCUUUGGAUUGGCCCGCGUUGGAUUAGGUAGUUGGUGGGGUAAUGGCCUACCAAGCCGACGAUCCAUAGCUGGUUUGAGAGGAUGAUCAGCCACACUGGAACUGAGACACGGUCCAGACUCCUACGGGAGGCAGCAGUGGGGAAUUUUGGACAAUGGGCGAAAGCCUGAUCCAGCCAUUCCGCGUGCAGGAUGAAGGCCCUCGGGUUGUAAACUGCUUUUGUACAGAACGAAAAGGUUUCUACUAAUACUAGGAGCUCAUGACGGCACUGUAAGAAUAAGCACCGGCUAACUACGUGCCAGCAGCCGCCGUAA
rnacentral:rRNA from 1 species